rnacentral:rRNA from 1 species
AACGAACGCUGGCGGCAGGCUUAACACAUGCAAGUCGAACGCCCCGCAAGGGGAGUGGCAGACGGGUGAGUAACGCGUGGGAACGUGCCCUUCGCUUCGGAAUAUUCCCGGGAAACUGGGGGCAAUGCCGGAUACGCCGAAUUGGGAAAGAUUUAUCGGCGAAGGAUCGGCCCGCGUUAGAUUAGGUAGUUGGUGGGGUAAUGGCCUACCAAGCCUACGAUCUAUAGCUGGUCUGAGAGGAUGAUCAGCCACACUGGGACUGAGACACGGCCCAGACUCCUACGGGAGGCAGCAGUGGGGAAUCUUGGACAAUGGGCGCAAGCCUGAUCCAGCCAUGCCGCGUGAGUGAAGAAGGCCUUAGGGUUGUAAAACUCUUUCGCCGGUGAAGAUAAUGACGGUAGCCGGAGAAGAAGCCCCGGCUAACUUCGUGCCAGCAGCCGCCGUAAUAC